GAUGAAGAACGCAGCGAAAUGCGAUAAGUAAUGUGAAUUGCAGAAUUCAGUGAAUCAUCGAAUCUUUGAACGCACAUUGCGCCCGCCAGCACUCUGGCGGGCAUGCCUGUUCGAGCGUCAUUUCAACCAUCAAGCCCCCAGGGGCUUGUGCUGGGGCCCUGCGGCUGCCCGCAGGCCCUGAAAACCAGUGGCGGGCUCGCUAGUCACACCGAGCGCAGUAGCAUAUCUUCGCUCUGGGCGUGGCAGCGUGUACCGGCCGUGAAACCUCCACUAAGGUUGACCUCGGAUCAGGUAGGAAUACCCGCUGAACUUAAGCAUAUCAAUAAGCGGAGGA
rnacentral:misc_RNA from 1 species